AGCCAUACAAAGGAGGACAUUGGGGAAAACAGGAGGAGAUGUUAAAGUAACCCAUCUUGCAGGAUGACAUUGAAGAUUGGUCUUCUGUUGAUCUAAGAUGAUUAUUUUAGCAAUCUUCUCCUAA